rnacentral:rRNA from 1 species
UGGGCAACCUGCCCCAGACUCAGGGAUAACCCCGGGAAACCGGGGCUAAUACCCGAUACUCCGAUCGAAUCACAUGGCUUGAUCGGGAAAGCUCCGACGGUCUGGGAUGGGCCCGCGGCCUAUCAGCUUGUUGGUGGGGUAACGGCCUACCAAGGCGACGACGGGUAGCUGGUCUGAGAGGGUGUCCGGCCACACUGGGACUGAGACACGGCCCAGACUCCUACGGGAG